rnacentral:lncRNA from 1 species
AGAACAAGUAAGUCCCUUGACAGGAGACACAGAAUGGAUUAAACUGAUACUUCACUUGAUCAUAGCCAAAAUGUUUGUGUUAAUGAGCUUAAUAGUAUUUACUUGGUGGGAGUCCAGAAUAGCUGUCCUUUUUUGUGGCAGGUGCCAGAACCAAAGCCAAAGCGAGUCUGGAUUUAGCAAUUCCAAUUAUUUCUCAGGAUUUGCUCCCUUCCAAGACAGCACUUAUCAUAAUCACUCAUUCAUAAUAGACACCCUGUUAAGUUGACAUUAGAUAUCCAUAACCAGAUUCAGGAAUCCAUUUUCCUUCUUAAAAACACUAUUUUAACUUUAUGUGAUAAGGCCUAUCAGACAUGUUUUACAUUUAGAGUGAGAGUUUGCCUUUGAUAAUGAUAACACCAAACAACUAAUUCCAGAUUCUCUUGAUCUGAUAACACUCCUACAAGAAUUGCAUUUUAAUUGUUUUGAAGCUUACAAAGAUAUCUCUUGAUUAAUUUUUUUCUUGUCUGCAGGAGCAAAAAGGGAAUUCAGAGGACAUCCUAAUGAAAAAUGAAAAUGGAUCAUCACACAAGUAGCUUAUUAUGAGAUGUAAAACCCCAUGAAAAAUUAAUAUAAUAUUUCUCAAGCAGGGUAAGUUGUGUGUAUGUUUUAAUAAUCCAGAACACAUGGAUAUUUUACAUCCAACUAGAAGGCAGAGAUGUAAGGUGAAAGUGACCUUGUAAUAAGGAAGAAUUCACGUAUGGCUGCAGGAUGCUUGAGUGAGCAGACUAACUGGUGACUGAAAUUAGAAAACCCUUCCAAUCAGUGUGAGGUAGAGAGAGCAUAUAUUGACAGAAUGACUGAAAUGACAUUGACAGCCAGUAGGUCUCAGGCUGCUCACACAUAAGUAAGCCUACAUGGGUAUCUUGGUGAAAGAAAUUACUUAUCAUUUUAUUUUAGUUUUUGAAGAGAGGAAGAGCGCAGAGAAAAGGUGUGUUUCUUUGGUUUGGGAAUGUGCAAAUUCCAUUUUCAAGCCUUGUAUUAGCUAGUUUAUAUUUUCUGUCAUUAGUAAUAUUCUUUUCUUCUCUAGGUAAAACAGCCUUGCUUUAGUGUAUUCGCUAGACCAAUGCUUCAUCCAUAAAGAAUAAUUUGGUGUUCCUAGAUAAAAACCUCUUCCUGCCCUUAUGCAGCACAGAGAUAAUAUUUUAAUAGCUGACUUGGUUAAUUGUGGGUUUCACGAGGCAAUGUAUUUUUGGUACAUUAGGAGACUAUCUACGUCUAACUCUUAAUCUUGAUGUCCCAAAGUUUUCCAUUUAAAAUAAUAUUGUUUUCCUAGGCAGCAUGGCUGACCCCUGCAUUUCCUUUUUUCUUUUGCUUCUCCUUGUACUGGUCUCUAACUUUCAAAUUUUCCAUAAUUAUAGAGACCAUAUAUCCCAGGCUUUCAGAAGCUGUCCAAUUUCUCCUUGCAGUUUUGCAAAUCACUGAAAUAAAUGUCCUAAGCAUCCAAAUAACAUUUGCUAUAUUGCCUAUCCCAUCAGAAAGCUGUACAAAAUUCCUGAGUCAGGUGCAUUGUGAUCCGUUUAUAAGGAAGAUAUGGUCUGUGAGCCCAUGUAAGGCAUGUUUGAAAACUUAAAUGAAUCCACUUAUUUGUAGGUUAUGAAUGCUUUGCUUUAGUCAGUAAGUAUGUUUUUACCAACAUAAGAAAAUGCUAUGUGUUGGUAAUGAUCCAAUUUUUCCUCCUUCCAAUAGUUAACUCUGUUUAAGUAUUUAUCGAAUGUCCACUUUAGGCAGGCUCCCUUUUACUUCUUGGCCACAGAUUCAGUUCCAAGUUCUUAGGAAAAAAAAAAAAGGAUUAAGAUGUGAGCUGAGCAGUCCAUGUGUUAACAUAGUCAUCUCAAAGAUAAAAUGUUUUCUAGCCCAGACACGGUGGCUCACGCCUGUAAUCCCAGCACUUUGGGAGGCCGAGGCGGGCAGAUCACAAGGUCAGGAGAUCGAGACCAUCCUGGCUAACACGGUGAAACCCCAUCUCUACUAAAAAUACAAAAAAAAAAAAAAAUUAGCCAGGCGUGGUGGU